rnacentral:rRNA from 1 species
AGUGAACGCUGGCGGCAGGCCUAACACAUGCAAGUCGAGCGGCAGCGCGGGGGCAACCCUGGCGGCGUGCGGCGGACGGGUGGGGAAUUCGUCGGAAUCUGCCUUUUUGUGGGGGAUAACGUAGGGAAACUUACGCUAAUACCGCAUCCGUCCUACGGUAGAACGGGGGGGACCGCAAGGCCUAACGCAGCAAGAUGAGCCGACGACCGAUUAGCUAGUUGGUGGGGUAAAGGCCCACCAAGGCGACGAACGGUAGCUGAUCUGAGAGGAUGAUCAGCCACACUGGAACUGAGACACGGCCCAGACUCCUACGGGAGGCAGCAGUGGGGAAUAUUGGACAAUGGGCGCAAGCCUGAUCCAGCCAUGCCGCGUGUGUGAAGAAGGCCUUCGGGUUGUAAAGCACUGUUGUCCGGAAAGAAAUCCCUGGAGCUAAUACCUUCGGGGGAUGACGGUACCGGAAGAAUAAGCACCGGCUAACUUCGUG